AGGCCUUCUGCUUCAACCUCUGAAGUGCUGGAAUUAUAGCUCUAGGAGAAAAGUGGAUUAUGCAAACAGAUACUUCACCCAGAUUGGUGGCCCUCAGUGACUCCUUGUGCUGAUGCCCUUGCUGGGAGAGGAAGCCAAGGCCCAGGAAAGAAGACGAGAAAAGAGGCAUUUUCUGACCAGAGCAGAUCACAUUCUGGGUCCUGCUUCAUGGUGAGCAGGAGUUUAAAGGAUUUCAGGUAUCAAAACAGCAGCAAAUUAAGAUGAACUAGCAACCUUGGCCUGCUGCCUUGUUAGGCCUAAGGCAGGGAAACUGGGCUGAUGUGCUCUACGGCUUGUGUUUUCUUUGGAAGUUGGGCUAUUGCUUAGAGACAGAUGUCUACUACCAUUCCUGAAGAGCGUGCUCUGGGUUCCUGGGAUCCAUAGGCUGAGCUCUUGUAUGUAGAGGCACCCCUUUUCCUAGCAUUCUAUGUCAUCUCAGGUCACCUCCAGCCUUUUGUUUACAUCCCAGCUGACAGAUGCAAGAGAUUAUUGAGUUGUGGUCUAAACACUCGGGAGGCCAGAUACCUGUAAGUGCU
rnacentral:lncRNA from 1 species